CCCUUACGCCCUCACCCAAAGCCAAAACAACCCCCUCGCAGCGGUCGGCCGCCACCUCCGGCACCAUGACCUCAACGUCGGCCCAAAUGCCGCCUCAAAAUGAGGUACCGGCACCACCACCUUAAAACCAACAGCUUCUUCGUGCACAAAAGCCUACUUUAGUCUUGGCCCACGAAAGCUUUCGGUGUCGGUUUUGGGGAGAGUGCACAAUGGGAGCUUCAAUUCAGUGUGUCUUCACAAAAUCGCCUUUAGCAAUGCUUCUUCUUUCCAUUUUGUACAGUAGAUCAGCGUGAAAGGGAGCAGCGUUGCGAUCGUUUUUUCGUUUAUAAAAGGUAACAUCCUGUUUACAUUUGUGAAAUAUAAUUUGUAUAUGAUUGUGUUAGUUAAAUUCUAUCAGUUGGUAAUAGAGAUAGACCCAAUCAUGUUGAAAUUAAUAAUUUCUUCUCCAUUUUCAUUUUUUAUUUUUGGAUUUUUCAUGGGUUUAAAAGCAAGAACCCUGAUUUUGAAAUCUGAUUUUUAUUACAUAAAUGGACUGAAGGUUUUGAAACUUGCUAAUGGCUCGUUUAGCUACUUCUUGAAGUUUUGAAAUCUGCUAAUGGUUUUGAAAUCUUAUUUUGAAAACACUGAUUUUGAAAUUUGCUAAUGGCUCGUUUAGCUACUUCUUGAAGGUUUUGAAAGUGGUUGGAAUUGGGAGUUUUUUUCUUGCGCGUGAGGGAGCUGCUAAUUUUGAGGUGGUGAUAGUGUUCGGUUUUCAGGAGAUGUUGGGGCCGACUUUGAGGUGGUGGUGCCGGAGGUGGCAGCUAACGGUUGGGUGGAAGUUCUUUUGGUUUUGGGAUGAGGGGGUUGGGAAGAAGGAGAUGGGAGCGUUUGUUGUGGUUCUUAUUUGGGGAAAAUUAUUAGAUUUUUAAAUUUUUGGAAUCGAUUGACGGUUUUUAUAGUCAAACUGACGAAAAUCGUCAUUUUGGACUUAGGCUGCGAAGUUUUUAAAGAUUUGGUACAUAAGAUGACACAAAUGAAAGAUUUAGAUCAAAUUUGCUAAUAUAUGAGGUUUGGCAUCUUGUUGCAAUUCUCCCAAAAAGUAAAUGUCUUUAGUUAAAAAAAAAAAAAAAAAAAAAAAAGGUUGAACUCCAACUUUGAGGGCUCUUAUCGUCCCGUCCCUAGAACUUUGUGAGGGAGGUAAAUCGCGGGAUAUACCCCAACAGGAUAGGGAAUAAAAGCUGUCUGUACACGCAUCUACAAGGAGUCCAAUUCCAUAUUUCAGAAAUCGAAUUCUCAUACUGUUACUGUCAACAACGUGUGAGAUAACAUCACUUCUGUCCUUUGCACCAACGAGCUAUGCCCCGAGGGACGUAAAUGUCUUUAGUUGUCUUCACUGUGAAGUGGGUUCGAGAUUGAGUUGAAAGGACGUAUUAGAUACAUCCAAUUCCAAGAAAAUUAAACAACACUCUCCCCAAAUUUAUUAAAAAUAAAUAUGAAAAUUAUUAUUUGCUAUAGAUUCUUUUCAAGAUGAAAUCGUGGCAUGUUGAUUAAUGCUAU
rnacentral:lncRNA from 1 species